AUGACUUUGGUCUCCGUCCUCAUCUGGACUCUCCUCUGCUGCUGCUUCACAGAGUCCAGAGGCCAGGUCACAGUGACUCAGCCUGGAGCAGUGAGCUCUGAUCUGGGAGCCUCCGCCACCAUCACAUGUACCACCAGUCAGGAUGUGCAGGUUUGGGGUGGUGACCAUCAAUUACACUGGUACCAACAGAGAGAUGGAGAAACUCCUAAACUUCUCAUUUACGAAGCCACCAGUCGACAAUCAGGGAUUUCCAGUCGUUUUUCAGGCAGUGGAUCAAACUCUCAUUUCACUCUGACCAUCAGUGAUGUUCAGGCUGAAGAUGCAGCAGUUUAUUAUUGUCAGAGUGAACACAUUAUCAACAGUCAGCGUGUGUUCACACAGUGAAAAACUGUCGUACAAAAACCUCCUUCAGACUGAACAGAAACUGAACUGACGGCUGCAGCUGGAAGAUACUGCACAGACUCACACAGUUCAAUGAACACACACAACUUUUAUUAUUUUCAACAAAACACAAUGAAAAAAGUUUUACAUGAUAUACUACAUCAUUACACAGAUAUCUAUGUGUUCUGUAAAAGUAUGAGAUGAAAUAAGCAUGUGUUUAUAAUUUACCAAACUUUUAUUCUGUCU